rnacentral:rRNA from 1 species
UUGACUGGUUUCCCACUGAAGCUAAGCAGGGUUGAGCCUGGGCAGUACAUGGAUGGGAGACCUCCUGGGGAAAAUUAAGGUUGCUAGUGGAA